CCUACGGGGGGCAGCAGUGGGGAAUAUUGCACAAUGGGGGAAACCCUGACCGAGCAACGCCGCGUGAACGAAGAAGUCCUUCGUAAUGUAAAGUUCUUUUAACAGGGAAGAAAGAGAAAUUUUACGGUACCUGAAGAAUAAGCUCCGGCUAACUACGUGCCAGCAGCCGCGGUCAUACGUAGGGAGCGAGCGUUAUCCGGAUUGAUUGGGCGUAAAGGGUGCGUAGAUGGCAUAGUAAGUCUUUUGUAAAAAUGCUGGGCUAAACCCAGUAGGGCAAAAGAUACUGGAAAGCUAGAGUAUGACAGAGGGAAGUGGAACUACAUGUGUAGCGGUAAAAUGCGUAAAUAUAUGUAAGAACACCAGUGGCGAAGGCGGCUUGCUGGGUCGAUACUGACAUUGAGGCGCGAAAGCGUGGGGAGCAAACAGGAUUAGAUACCCGGGUAGUC
rnacentral:rRNA from 1 species